rnacentral:rRNA from 1 species
GACGAACCGUGCGAACGUUGUUCGGAAUCACUGGGCUUAAAGGGCGCGUAGGCGGGUCGGCAAGUCCGGGGUGAAAGCCCCCAGCUCAACUGGGGAAGGGCCUUGGAAACUGCCGGUCUCGAGGGAGGUAGGGGCCUGUGGAACUUCGGGUGGAGCGGUGAAAUGCGUUGAUAUCCGAAGGAACGCCGGUGGCGAAAGCGACGGGCUGGAUCUCUUCUGACGCUGAGGCGCGAAAGCUAGGGUGGCGAACGGG